UUCUUGCUGGAGGUACCUGCAUACCUGUGGCCUUCUGAACUGUACACUACAGAGGUGCUGUCAAGAUACAGGCAUAAGCUGCGCUGUGAGGAAAGAAAGCCUCAAACAACUGAAAUUAAGUUCACAGGACUUUGUCAAAGCCAUGCAGGAAAUCUGUGACAGAUCCCAGAUUAAACUCCAGAUUUCCUGUCUCCUCCACUUGUUCUGCAACUACAAGGCCCAUAAUUUCUUAGCUGAGGGAAGGGCUGUCCAAUAUUAUCUUUCUUUUUCUGAUAUACUGUUGCUUCAGUUUAAUACACUAGUUGCUACCAUAUGUUUUGUAUGCUGUGGUAGUUCAGUCCCAUGACUGUUUCUUUAUUGUGUUUUGUGAGGCAUGCGUACACACUGAACAGUUAAUGGUAAUAAUGCUAGUUACCAAUUCUGUUUAGCAUUCAAGCAAAUGAUAAAAAAAGCUCAAUAAAAGCAGGUAUUAAAAGUUAACUCAAAAGUAUUUAUGGAUGCAGAUAACUUACUGUCUCCCUCUUCCAAAUAUCCUGCUUAUAUUUCUUCAAAUCUAAAUAGCAUUCAGAGAAGCAGUUUUGAUUUGCAUCACAGAUGCUGCCUGUACUGAAAUAAUGUUUUUAUGGAAUUACAAUAUUUGAAUAUUUAUUUGAAGAAAGUAAUUUUCAUUUUUGCAUGUGCCACUUUGUAAAAUUGAUGCUGUUAGGUGCCAGUUAAGCACUCUAUAAGUUACAAGUUAAUAGAUGUGACGCUUUCAAAGGAAAAUCAUUCUUUGUGUGUCUGUGAUCAAAUGACAUUGAUCAAGUUUUUUGGACUUUGCUUUGUCUUGGUAGAUGGAAAUGAGAGAAAUCUGAACUGUUUAUUAGGUAUCUUUAGAUGUUCUUGUGUUCAUAUGUAUUGGCAAAAGUCUAUGUAUGUCUAAUUUUUUAGGUACUUUGCUGCUAUAUUAAACUUUAAUAGUUUUCAUUCUGUGCUGCUCAAUUUGCCCUCAUAUGGUUCUUCUUUAGAUAACAGUACUUGUACAAAUUCCAACUGAAGCAGAGUCGGUAAUCUUCAGCCAGUCUUGACAGCAUUUCUAAUGCAGUACAGCUAUGGAAUUUCAUUCUAUUUUCUUGUUUUCUAGAUUGUAUAUAAAUAACUGAGCAGAAACAUGGGAUCAAAUGGCCUUUGCUAAAUACACUUUUUGUUAUUUAAAGGAUGAAAUUUAGAGUACUUAUUAAACAUGUAAUCACUU
ensembl:lncRNA